AUCGCAUCUAGAUGAGACACGAUAAAUCGAUCCCCUAUAGAUCGAUCGCUACCCACCGAUCUGGUGGAUAGUGUGGACGUACCCAGAGAAACCUGGAAGAAAA